AGAGUUGUAGCGCAACGGAAGCGCGCAUCCCUUCAGAGGAUGAAGUGCGGGUUCGAUUCCCGCCGACUCCA
rnacentral:tRNA from 1 species